GUACUGAUGAAGAGUCCCGAACUAGGACGAAACAGAUGUCCAGUAC
rfam:Trichobilharzia regenti genome assembly, scaffold: TRE_scaffold0013715